UUGGGGGAGAAGACAGUAGAGUGGAGUGGGGUGAACCCGGGGGUAUCUUUGCCUCUGGCCUGUUUCAACCUAUCCAUCAAAAUGCUGACCUAUAUUCCAGUGACACAUAUUAGAUCCAAGCAGGACAAACUACCCAGGGUGUCCUCCCCCCUCCCACUUAGGCAAGGGGGCAGCCACAUCUGUUCUUUCUCCUCAGGCUCCAGAUGUGAGCUGUGAGGGGCAGAAGGAAGGUUGUUAAGAGGCAAGUCCGGUGCAGCAGGAACAGCACUGCAUUCUCAGGAAAGCAGCAGUAAGCAGUGGGGUGAAAGAAAGAAAGAUAGGUUUUCGGAUCCCCAGAUCUCCCCCCCCCCCCAAGCCAUUGUUUUUAAAAUGCUUUCCUGUAUUUCUGUAGAGUGGGCAGAUGGCAAGAUCCUGGAAGUGUAAAACAGCUACAAGAAACAAGAUGAUUCAGACAGAAGGAGUAUGAAUAAAUCCUGGCUGGUCAUCUCAUUAUUAAUCAAGAUACCACCACCCACCCUCUACCGCCUUAGCUGGGCUGGCGCAGGCUUGAAAAAAACGUACCAUCACCCGUGUGAUGUUUCUGAAGAAAGCCGGAGAAGCAGCAACAGUUGGUGCCUUUGAUUAGCAGAACAUUUCAAUCCCCACCCCAUCUUUUCUCCAAAUAGUCGUUCACAAUGCGAGUGCUCAGCCCCACUGUUUGCUCGGUUCAAUAGAUCUGGGGGCAAGGGUUAUGCCUUCCUGUUACCAUGGGGCUGGCAGAGAGAACUGGAGGCCAGUGAUCUUAGUCUGAGCUUCAGGAUCAUGGCUAGCUCCCUACAACUGUCCCCAGAUGUUCCCAAUUCAACCUGCAGUGCAGAUUACGUAAUCAUCUCUUCACGACGCAUGAGCAUAGGGGGAACUCUGGGCUCCAAAGAGUUAAAUUGUCAUCUGCAAUGGAAUAAAUGGUUUAACCACAAAUUCAUCCUGUGCUCGCCUACUUAUGUGUUACCCUGG
rnacentral:lncRNA from 1 species